ensembl:misc_RNA 7SK 7SK RNA
GGAUGUGAGGGCGAUCUGGCUGCGACAUCUGUCACCCCAUUGAUCGCCAGGGUUGAUUUGGCUGAUCUGGCUGGCUAGGCGGGUGUCCCCUUCCUCCCUCACUGCUCCAAGUGCAUCCCUCCUGAAGCUGCGGUCGAAGAGGACGGCCUUCCCCAAUAAAGACAGACUGGUCUUCGGUCGGUCGAGGGUGUAUGAGUAGCUGCGCUCCCCUGCUAGAACCUCCAAACAAGCUCUCAAGGUCCCAACAACAGAUGAGUGACUGAGAAAGCUCUAUACUUCUAUAUGUGUAUAGGACACACCACCAAA